rnacentral:tRNA from 1 species
GGGUAUAGUUCAGUGGUAGAGCAUUUACCUAGCAUGUGUGAGGCCCUGGGUUCAAUCCCCAGCACCACCA